ACCCCCCGUCUUCCGCUACAAGGGCUA
rnacentral:misc_RNA from 1 species